rnacentral:lncRNA from 1 species
CAGCUUGGUAGACCAUGUUGAAAGAAUUCAAUAUAUCUCAGUGAUGCUUUGCACUGUGUGGAUUUCACUUGUAGGAAUACAGAAGGUACCUUAAAAUCAACAAGCCUUAUCCAAUAUAAUCAGGUUCAGCUUUAUGAAUUAAAGUGUGAUUAAUCAACGUACAAAUAUGUUUCAUGACGGGAAACUGAAUUUUAUAUCGACAAUCUAUGAAUUAGUGUAAAAUUUCUUCUAUUCGCAUCUUUUAGCAAUAAAUGUAGAGAAAACCCAGCCAUGAAACCUAUAAGGCCUCUUGGCUGGAAGGAAAGGCUAUCAGUUAUGUUCUUUAUGCUCAAGCUCGUGCAACAGGCGAGCAAUCCUCAAUACAAAACCAAGACAAACUGAGAAGGAAUUUAGGUUCAUCAUAGGAAAUCUUAUUCAUCUAUAGGUCCAGAAGUACAAAGCAAGAGCCCAAAUCGAAAAAUUAUCAACAUACAAGCAUAUAAGUACUCUACAUAAACAGGCGAGCAAUCCUCAAUCCAAAACCAAGACAAACUGAGAAGGAAUUUAGGUUCAUCAUAGGAAAUCUUAUUCAUCUAUAGGUCCAGAAGUACAAAGC